rfam:Triticum urartu cultivar G1812 contig653784, whole genome shotgun sequence.
UUUGUACUCCCUCCGUCCCAAAAUUCUUGUCUUAAAUUUUUAUAAAUAAGGAUGUAUCUAGUUACAUUUUAGUGUUAGAUACAUCCGUAUCUAAACAAAUGUAAGACAAGAAUUUUGGGACAGGGGGAAUACUAC